rnacentral:rRNA from 1 species
GACGAACCGUGCGAACGUUGUUCGGAAUCACUGGGCUUAAAGGGCGCGUAGGCGGGCUGCCAAGUCUGGGGUGAAAUCCCGCGGCUCAACCGUGGAAUGGCCUCAGAUACUGGCGGUCUCGAGGGAGGUAGGGGAGAACGAAAUUCCUGGUGUAGCGGUGAAAUGCGCAGAUAUCAGGAGGAACACCGGUGGCGAAGGCAAUCCCCUGGGCCUGCACUGACGCUCAUGCACGAAAGCGUGGGGAGCAAACAGG